rnacentral:rRNA from 1 species
GAUGAACGCUGGCGGCGUGCCUAAUACAUGCAAGUCGAGCGAACAGACGAGGAGCUUGCUCCUCUGACGUUAGCGGCGGACGGGUGAGUAACACGUGGAUAACCUACCUAUAAGACUGGGAUAACUUCGGGAAACCGGAGCUAAUACCGGAUAAUAUAUUGAACCUCAUGGUUCAAUAGUGAAAUACGGUUUUGCUGUCACUUAUAGAUGGAUCCGCGCCGCAUUAGCUAGUUGGUAAGGUAACGGCUUACCAAGGCAACGAUGCGUAGCCGACCUGAGAGGGUGAUCGGCCACACUGGAAGUGAGACACGGUCCAGACGCCUACGGGAGGCAGCAGUAGGGAAUCUUCCGCAAUGGGCGAAAGCUUGACGGAGCAACGCCGCGUGAGUGAUGAAGGGCUUCGGAUCGUAAAACUCUGUUAUUAGGGAAGAACAAAUGUGUAAGUAACUAUGCACGUCUUGACGGUACCUAAUCAGAAAGCCACGGCUAACUACGUG